UGUUACCGUUGUGGUUCACUCCCUGAGCGCUGACGUCUCCUCUCGUGCUCCUGCGAGCUCUCCCGUGAUCCCUCUCGUGCUCCACUGGUUACCUUCUGAGUCGGCUUCCCCGGACCCAAGGUACCCCUCUGACGAUCUUCUGGUUCCUCCCGCUGUUCUGAUCCCUUGGAUUCCCCCGGUGCUGCUCGGACCCACUCCUGCCCCAGCUUCCCACGGACACCCGUCUCCUCCACCGUGUGCUAGGCUGAGACCGCACUGCCCCCUCCCCGGUCAGGUUCCCAGCGCUUCGUGUGUGUUCCGGUUCCCUGGUCCCCGUUCGUGUGCCCCAGCGUCUGCUGUGGCAGAUUAGCUCUCGUCCUCCCCGUUGUUCCUUGUAAAUAAAACCCGUGAAGUC